GACGAACCGAGCGAACGUUGUUCGGAAUCACUGGGCUUAAAGGGCGCGUAGGCGGGCCAUCAAGUCAAGGGUGAAAGCCCCCGGCUCAACCGGGGAAGUGCCUCUGAUACUGGUGGUCUCGAGGGAGAUAGGGGCGUGCGGAACUUCCGGUGGAGCGGUGAAAUGCGUAGAUAUCAUUUGGAACGCCAAUGGUGAAAACAGGUAGCUGGGGGUGUGCUGACACUGAGACACGAAAGCCAGGGAGGCGAAACGGG
rnacentral:rRNA from 1 species